CCAAAAGCAGACCUACGUCAGGAUAACCCUUCUUUGAAACACUUUGGUAGUGCUCUUAGAUUGUAUUGUAAUCAAAAUAAGAAAUCAGAGCACAGGGAGUCAUCUCCUUAUUCUUUCUGUCAAGAAAAAAGAUGGUAGACUAACUGAUAUUUGUAUCAGUUAAUGAAAAAGCCCAAUGCAAAAAAGAUGCACGUUGGGUCUUUAAAGAAAUUCAAAUCGUUUUGAUAAUAAUAAGUUUGAUUUGUUUUACCGAGCAGGUCUACGGUUCGAGUCCGUAUAGCCCUACAUAUUCCUACAAAUAAUAAUAUUUAUUAUUUAAUAUGUCUCAUUACUAACUAAUAUAUUUUGAGUACUAAAUACUCUAUACUUGUAUUAAUAAAAAUAUCCAUUCUAUUAUUAUUAUAUUAAUUAGUAAUUAAUUAGCAGUAGAACGAAUUUCUAAAUUUCUAUUAGAAUAGUUUUAUAUUAGAUAAAAAGUUACUAAUAUUAGUAGUCUUCUAUACUAAUUUAAAU
rnacentral:lncRNA from 1 species